rnacentral:lncRNA from 1 species
AUGAUCUUUCCAUUUCCCCAUCAUUUAUUUUUCUUUCCAAGGAUGAGGUUCUACAUUGGUGUAUUGAAGUCCCUUGAACGAGUUCCUCCAGGACCCUUUGCAACCACUGUGUCCACAUGGAGACAGACACUUGCUGUUCAGGGAUUAGAAGUGGGAGGGUCUUCGCAGCCCCGUGGCUCUUUCCUGCACUCUUAGGAAGCAAUACUUUGCUCCUGUUUAUCGAUAAUUCAGCAACAUGAGCAGAAAAGCACACCCACCCCCCCCUGCCAAGACCUGUGUUCCUUAUCUCUCCUCCAUACCUUGAUACAGAGACAUUUGUUUCCCGAGAAAAGCCUCCAAACAAAUUCCUAGGAAAAUAUCAGGAACUGUAUUUCUUCAUUACGAAGGAGAAGAUGACAAGUUUUGAAGUGUUUGGUGGCAUGUUUCAUGGGAGGCUGGUGAAGAGAUGAACCUUGGCUCUCGAAAUGUCAGGACAAUGUGAUUUCUUCAAAUUAUAAGCUCAUCCUGGCCCACUAAGAGGAUGAUCUCAGUGGGUGGACAUAGCUAACCGCGUUCAC